rnacentral:rRNA from 1 species
UACGUAGGGGGCGAGCGUUGCUCGGAAUCACUGGGCGUAAAGCGCACGUAGGCGGAUCUUUAAGUCAGGGGUGAAAUCCCAAGGCUCAACCUUGGAACUGCCUUUGAUACUGGGGAUCUCGAGUCCGGAAGAGGUUGGUGGAACUGCGAGUUGUAGAGGUGAAAUUCGUAGAGUAUCGCAAGAACACCAGUGGCGAAGGCGGCCAACUGGUCCGGUACUGACGCUGAGGUGCGAAAGCGUGGG